CACUUAGUCAGUCACUGUCACGAUCACUCUACCUGGACGAGCUACAGCCUGCCUGGCCUACACCUGAGAAGGUCACUUAGUCAGUCACUUAGUCACUUAGUUAGUCACUGUCACGUUCACUCUACCUGGACGAGCUACAGCCUGCCUGGCCUACACCUGAGAAGGUAGUCACUUAGUCAGUCACUUAAUCAGUCACUUAGUCAGUCACUUAGUCACUUAGUCAGUCACUUAGUCACUUAGUUAGUCACUGUCACGUUCACUCUACCUGGACGAGCUACAGCCUGCCUGGCCUACACCUGAGAAGGUAGUCACUUAGUCAGUCACUUAAUCAGUCACUUAGUCAGUCACUUAGUCACUUAGUCAGUCACUUAGUCACUUAGUUAGUCACUGUCACGUUCACUCUACCUGGACGAGCUACAGCCUGCCUGGCCUACACCUGAGAAGGUAGUCACUUAGUCAGUCACUUAAUCAGUCACUUAGUCAGUCACUUAGUCACUUAGUCAGUCACUGUCACGAUCACUCUACCUGGACGA